rnacentral:rRNA from 1 species
UACGUAGGGUGCGAGCGUUAAUCGGAAUUACUGGGCGUAAAGCGUGCGCAGGCGGUCUGUUAAGACAGAUGUGAAAUCCCCCGGGCUUAACCUGGGAACUGCAUUUGUGACUGGCAGGCUAGAGUAUGGCAGAGGGGGGGUAGAAUUCCACGUGUAGCAGUGAAAUGCGUAGAGAUGUGGAGGAAUACCGAUGGCGAAGGCAGCCCCCUGGGCCAAUACUGACGCUCAUGUGCGAAAGCGUGGGGAGCAAACAGG